UGCUGUGCAUGACCCCACCAUUGCUUGACCUCAUACAUUUUUUUUAAAGCAAUAGAAAUAUGUAUAUUAAAGGUAUUUUCAUAUAAUAUUUUUUUUCAACUUUACCUUAACUUACCCUAGCAAAUUCUAUGCUAAGGAUAUUUUUCCAUUGUGGGUUAUGGAAACUGAAUGGCCAUUCAAGAUAUAAUAUGACAUAUUGAAAAAAGUUGCAACAACCACUAG